rnacentral:snoRNA from 10 species
GUUCCCUAUAGUAAGGACAUUUUCACAGGCUUGCACUGAGCUCCAUGAGCAUAAGUCAUUCUGAGGAAAU